UUGAUGAAACAGUAAACAUUUUAAUUAUAUUAAAUCUCAACUUUGGAGUACACUUUUUAAAAUAGUCUCUGUGACAAUAAGAGAAGUUCACAUAAAACAUAUCAAAGCAUGAUAGUUGUCUUGAGGAAAAGCAGUGUGGAAUUGAGUUGCAGGCUAAACUAGCCACUUUUUACAUGGAACAUAAUUUUUACUUGAAUUAACAAUUUAUGAUCUAUCGUUAUAUAGACUUUGGUGUUUGAUAGCCAUUUUCUCAAAAUUAAGUGAGCCAUUCACUUCAAGAAAGAAAACUGAUAGUAAUUUGACCAGUGAUACAACCUGAGCUUUCAAGAGGAAAUUGGAAUUUUGGAAAACCUGCAUCUGCUAUUGUGUCCUUGAUAGCUUUUCAGUACUUAGAAACAUUUCUAAGGUUAACAAAUGUAAUUUCUCUUGUAUAAUGAGACUUGUCAACAUUUAAAACAACAGCAUAAAUAUUUUCCAAAUGACUAGUAUACAAUGUUACAAAAUCUCAUAUGGGUAAAAGAUCCAUUCAACAUCCAAGAUAAACCAAUACAUUUUAAUGUAACAGAGUAAGAAAAGUGUAUUGACGUGGUUUCAGAUUCCACAUUACAACAAACAUUUAAGAAACCACCAUUUUUUGAGUUUUGGUGUAGUAUCAAAGAAGAAUAUCCACUAUUAUUAUCUUUAAAAGCUAUUAAGAUACUCUUUCAACUAUCUAUCUAUGUAAGGCUGUAAUUUCACCAUCCACCUCAACCAAAACAAGAUAUGGCAACAGAAUAAAUGCAAAAGGAGAUAUAAGAAUCCAGCUCUCUUCUAUUAAUCAAGACAUUUAAAAGGAUUUCCUGUUUAAUAAAUGGUGAUGGGAGAACUGGCUAGCCAUAAGCAGAAAAUUGAAACCAGACCCCUUCCUUACACCUUAUACAACAAUUAACUCAAGAUGGAUUAAACACUUAAAUGUAAAACCCAAAACUAUAAAAACCCUAAAAGAAAAUCUAGGCAACACCAUUCAGGACACAGGCAGGGGCAAAGAUUUCAUGACAAAAACGUCAAAAGCAAUUGCAACAAAAGCAAAAAUUGACAAGUGGGAUCUAAUUAAAGAGCUUCUGCACAGCAAAAGAAACUAUCAUCAGAGUGAACAGAUCUCAUAAAGAAUGGGAGAAAAAGUUUGCAAUCUAUCCAUCUGACAAAGGUCUAAUAUCCGGAUUCUACAAGGAAUUUAAACAAAUUUACAAGAAAAAAACGACCCCAUUAAAAACUGGCCAAAGGACAUGAACAGACAUUUCUCAAAAGAAGACAUUUAUGCAGCCAACAAACAUAUGAAAAAAAGCUCAACAUCACUAAUCAUUAGAGAAAUGCAAAUCAAAACCACAAUGAGAUACCACCUCAAGCCAGUCAGAAUGGAAAUUAUUAAAAAGUCAAGAAACUACAGAUGCUGGUGAGGCUGUGGAGAAAUAGGAACGUUUUUUACACUGUUGGUGGGAGUGUAAAUUCAUUCAACCAUUGUGGAAGACAGUAUGGCAAUUCCUCAAAGACCUAGAACCAGAAAUACCAUUUGACCAGCAAUCCCAUUACUGGGUAUAUACCCAAAGGAAUAGAAAUCAUUCUGACACAAAGACACAUGUAUGUGUUCAUUGUAGCACCAUUCACAGGAGCAAAGACAUGGAAUCAACCUAAAUAAAUGCCCAUCAAUGGUAGACUGGAUAAAGAAAAGCUGAUACAUAUACACCAUGGAAUACUAUGCAGCCAUAAAAAGGAAUGAGAUAAUGUCCUUUGCAGGGACAUGGAUGGAGCUGGAAGCCAUUAUCCUCAGCAAACUAAUGCAGGAACAGAAAACCAAACACCGCGUGUUCUCACUUAUAAGUGGGAGCUGAACAAUGAGAACACAUGGACACAGGGAGGGGAAUAGCACACACUGGGGCCUAUGGGGGUGCAAGGAGAAGGAGUGCAUCAGGAUAAAUAGCUAAUGCAUGUGGGGCUUAAUACCUAGGUGAUGGGUUGAUAGAUGCAGCAAACCACCAUGGCACAUGUUUACCUAUGUAACAAACCUGCAUGUCCUGCACAUGUAUCCUGGAACUUAAAAUAAAAUAAAAUAAAUUUUUUAAAAAAGAUUUGCAAAAUAAAAAAACAGUGGUUUUCAUUUAGGGUGAUGUUUUUCUCUCUCUCCAUCUGUCCAGGGGAUAUCAGGCGACUUUUUGGUGAUCAAAGUGGGAUACUAUCAUCUAGUGGGUAGAGGCCAGUGAUGCUGCUCACCGUCUACAAUGCACUGGAGAACUUCCUACAACAAAGAAGUAUCUAGUCUAAAAUUUCAGUAGUUCCAAGGUUGAGAAUUCUGAUACAAAAUAAUGCCAUUCUUCUCACUAAAUUUUUUGUUUUGAACACAUGUAUGUUAGCUUAUUUUAAAUGAACUAAUUUUUAAAUUUUCCUUAUUUAAAUUUGUAAUACAAUAACUAUCAAUAGAUAUAACCCACAUAAACAAAAGCUCUUUGGUGCCCUCAAUGAUUCUUAAGAUUAUAAAGGGGAACCAAGCAUGGUGGCUCACGCCUGUAAUUCCAACACUUUGGGGCCAAGGCAGGAGGAUCACUUGAGGCUGGGAGUUCGAGACCAGCCUGGGCAACAUAACAAGACCCCACCUCUACAAAAAAUUUAAAAAAGAAAAAAUCAGUCAGGCAUAGUGCCACAUGCCUGUAGUCCUAGCUGCUCAGGAAGCUGAGGCUGGAGGAUCACUNNNNNNNNNNGCAUGGUGGCUCACGCCUGUAAUUCCAACACUUUGGGAGGCCAAGGCAGGAGGAUCACUUGAGGCUGGGAGUUCGAGACCAGCCUGGGCAACAUAACAAGACCCCACCUCUACAAAAAAUUUAAAAAAGAAAAAAUCAGUCAGGCAUAGUGCCACAUGCCUGUAGUCCUAGCUGCUCAGGAGGCUGAGGCUGGAGGAUCACUUGAGCCCAGGAGUUAAAGGGUAAAGUGAGAUAUGAUUGAUCACACCACUGCACUCCAGCUUGGGCAACAGAGCAAGAACCUGUCUCACAAAAAAUUGUAAAGGUAGCCUGAGGCCAAAACGUUUAACUCUAGAUGUAGACAAUCGACCAUAGAGAUUAGAAAAGUCAGUGUGCUAAGCCUCCCUGCACAUCCGUCCCUAUAAAAAUCAGAAGCAUGGCAUGUGUGCCCAAGGACACGUAGUUUUCUCCUUAAGAAAAGAAUUGUCUAAAAUGAGGCAAUGUAAAGAGGUCAGUGCAGGGAUGAACACCAAUUUAAGCCCUGAUGAUGUGUCAGGGUUUGUGAUGGCUACAAGGAAUGUAAUCAUGACUGAAAUUCCUCAUUAUUCCAAAAAAGCUAUUGUCUAGAAGGAGAGAGAGACAACUGAGAUUUUGCUUGACAUGUGGUAGGGAGAAGCGGGGUGGAUGCACGGGUACAGGAGGUCAGUGGGGAGGGGCUUGGGUUAGAGAUGAGGCAAGGGGACAAGACAGGCUUCCUGAAAAAGAGAUGUCUGUGCUGCGUCUUGAAGGAUGAGUGGGAAUUUGGUGACAGAGUGCGAGAGGCACUGCAGGAGAGGGGGGCGCCUCAGCUGUGGGAACAGCAUGAGCAAAGGCCCAGAGGUGAGAACCGUUAGACAGGAGAAGGGAAUCAAGGAUGAACCUCUAAGGUUUUGGCUUAAGCAACACUGGGCAAACGGCGGGGCCAUUUA
rnacentral:lncRNA from 1 species